AAGAUUGAGAUACACCCACUUUUGCAUUUAAUACCACACCCACCAAAGACAUUUGAGUGAAACCAUAGUUUAUCUAUGAUGAAACCUGGCUAGCUAGCUUUUAGCUCCAUUGCAUUGCUAAAGUAUUACAGCAUUCUCCGAAUGGAAAGAGGUUUGAGGCUGAGAAUCCUGUCCUGUCAGUAAUGAACCCGACGUAUUCAAGUUUUCAAAGAACCGCACAUUUGGAUCUACCGAGCACAACUCCAGAUCACACACAAUAUUCAAACUGACCAUUGAAAGCAGGGUUAGAGAUGAUGAACUCAGUGAUGGCACUACUAUCAGGGUGUCCUCUGUGAGCCUGGUUGACCUGGCUGGGUCAGAGCAUGUAAGUGCAACAGGUGCCACGGGUGAGCAGUUUUGGGACAAGCUGAUACAGUAGCCAAUCAAGUAAAACUUCCCGUUGCUUUUUUGAUGAAGAUCAUAUCAAAUUAAGUUAUCAGAGUGAACCGUGUGAGUUACUAUAGUUACAUUGUACAGUAUGCACUGCAUGGAAAUGUGCAGUCCUUAUAUUAAUCCCACGCUGAAUGUACUGCUUUGUAUAAUUAUACUCUCUCCUUCAUAAAAAUUAAUGGUGUUGGUACAUGUACGUACGUCAUGUGAUUACAGUUGCUUAAGUUUCUUACCAGUUUUGAGAGGCCGCUAAUAGCAAGAGUCCAUAAUAAAAGAGAGGGAGUAUCCAACGUAGCAUUACCUUGCGUCAAAUGUAUUCGGAAAGUGACGUAACUUCCUGCUUUUUAACCAAACAAUCCGAGUACCCGAAGCCGCUACUUACCUCGAGGCAGAAACAUUUUAUGCCACAAGUUGUUCAGACAGGGUGUAAUGUUACACUCCGAAUACAUCUGAUGCAAGGUAACGAUAUACGCUCGAUACUCUCCCUCUUUUAUUAUGGACUGAAUUUUGUAUGUAUGAGAUUAAUGGAUCACGAUUGGUUGUUAUGGUAAGGUAGUCUACUUUGCAUGGCUGAACACCCUUGUAUUAGCUAUAAUUACAAGUACUGCAAUAUAGGACAACCAACCUGCAUGUCUGUUUCUGAAGUACUACUCUUUCAGUGUUUACAUUGGAGCGUUUUUCCCACUCGAUUUACAAGCUGACCAUUGAAAGCAGGGUUAGAGAUGAGGAACACAGUGAUGGCACUAUCAGGGUGUCCUCUCUGGUGAGUGGGUUGGGCAAGUGUGUGCCUACAGCUGUGAAUAAAUUCUUGACUGAUUGACGUCUGCAUUGCUCCCAGGGUACAUGCAUCUAUUUUAAUAUACAGGUUGGUUGUUCUGUUGAAGCUUUAUGACCACUUUGAGCAGCUAUAAUUAUAAGCACUGCAAUAAUUAUGUCCCUGGUAAUCUGCUCUUUCAGUGUCUAUAUACUAAUUAUUAUUG